AGAGUUUGAUCCUGGCUCAGGAUAAACGCUGGCGGCGUGCCUAACACAUGCAAGUCGAACGCGCAGCCCUGGUGGAAACGCUGGGGUGGGCGAGUGGCGAACGGGUGCGUAACACGUAGGAACCUGCCCUCAGGUGGGGGAUAACGGCUGGAAACGGCUGCUAAUCCCGCAUAGUCUCCAUCAGGGGAACCUGGUGGAGUAAAACUCUGGUGCCUGGGGAUGGGCCUGCGGCCUAUCAGGUAGUUGGUGGGGUAACGGCUCACCAAGCCGAUGACGGGUGGGGGGCGUGAGAGCGUGGCCCCCCACACGGGAACUGAGACACGGUCCCGACGCCUACGGGCGGCAGCAGUGAGGAAUCUUGCACAAUGGGGGCAACCCUGAUGCAGCGACGCCGCGUGCGGGAGGAAGGCCUUCGGGUCGUAAACCGCUUUUCUGGGGGACGAGUAAGGACGGUACCCCAGGAAUAAGUCCCGGCUAACUACGUGCCAGCAGCCGCGGUAAGACGUAGGGGGCGAGCGUUAUCCGGAAUCACUGGGCGUAAAGGGCGUCUAGGCGGCGGGCUAAGUCCCGCGUGAAAGCUCCUGGCUCAACUAGGAGAGGUCGCGGGAAACUGGCUGGCUAGAGACUCGGAGAGGGGUGUGGAAUUCCCGGUGGAGUGGUGAAAUGCGUUGAGAUCGGGAGGAACACCAGAGGCGAAGGCGGCACCCUGGCCGAGGUCUGACGCUGAAGCGCGAGAGCGUGGGGAGCGAACGGGAUUAGAUACCCCGGUAGUCCACGCCGUAAACGAUGACAACUAGGUGUUGGGCGUCCAAGGACGCUCGGUGCCGCAGCCAACGCGAUAAGUUGUCCGCCUGGGGAGUACGGCCGCAAGGCUAAAACUCAAAGGAAUUGACGG
rnacentral:rRNA from 1 species